rfam:Brassica napus, WGS project CCCW01000000 data, contig: 18259
GUCAGGAUGGCCGAGUGGUCCAAGGCGCCAGACUCAAGUUCUGGUCCUCGAAAGAGGGCGUGGGUUCAAACCCCACUUCUGACA